rnacentral:rRNA from 1 species
AAUGAACGCUGGCGGCAUGCCUAACACAUGCAAGUCGAACGGCAACACAGUAAGCUCUUGCCCCUACGGGUGGCGAGGGGCGGAUGAGUGAGGCAUGCAUCGGAAUCUACUUUUUCGUGGGGAAUAACGUAGGGAAACAGACGCUACUACCUCAUAUAUUCAACGGGUGAAAGCAAGGGAUCUUGGCACCUUUCCCGACUCUAUUAGCCGAUGUCGGAUUAGCUAGUUGGCUGGGUAAAGGCCCACCAAGGCGACGAUCCGUAGCUGGUCUGAGAGGAUGAGCAGCCACACUGGAACUGAGACACGGUCCAGACUCCUACGGGAGGCAGCAGUGGGGAAUAUUCGACAAUGGGCGAAAGCCUGAUCCAGCCAUGCCGCGUGGGUGAAGAAGGCCUUCGGGUUGUAAAGCCCUUUUGUUGGGAAAGAAAAGAAGCAGAAGAAUACACCGCUGUCAUGACGGUACCCAAAGAAUAAGCACCGGCUAACUACGUG